CAAAGCAGCAGCAGCCGCCGCAGCAAAAUCUUGGAAGUUCAUUGGUGGAAGUGGAUGCCCCUCAAAACUCUGAGAUAAUUUCUUCCUGAUUGGUUGGAAGCGGCACCUAAUACGUGGCAAAUGCUGAGUGUAGAAAGUACAGGCCCUAGGGAAAGGAAGAGCUGAAGGCGAGUCCUGGGUGGUCGGGAGGCGACCGACCUUAAAGGAUGUGCUGCUGUGGCUCUUCUAAAGCCUCGUCUUUUUGGAAAGGCGAAAACAAAGCUGGAAACAUAAGGCUUUAGAGAAGAAAACCAAAACUGCAAAAGGCAAAACUGGAGAAGAUUUGAAUGUUCAGCUAAGGAAUUGAAACUUCAUUCAGCAGUUAAGGACACCCUGAAGAUUUUUUAGCGAAGGAGUGAAAGGAUGAAAAUUGUGGUUUAUGAAGAUGCAUCCAUCUGCUGUGUAUUCAAAAGAAUAGCAUCAAAGAUGAGGAGAGUGAUUGGGAGGCUCUUGCCCAUCAAAUUUCUGUGAAGAUUUUUUUUAAAAAAGUAUUGACUUAAACAUGCUGUUAUUAACGUCAGAAAGCAAAAACGUAAAAAGCCCCAUUUCC